rnacentral:piRNA from 1 species
UGGAAAGUAACUGACUGUCUGUAG